rnacentral:rRNA from 1 species
AGCCCAGACUCCUACGGGAGGCAGCAGUGAGGAAUAUUGGUCAAUGGUCGGGAGACUGAACCAGCCAAGCCGCGUGAGGGAUGAAGGUACAGAGUAUCGUAAACCUCUUUUGUCAGGGAACAAAGGCGGGGACGUGUCCCCGGAUGAGUGUACCUGAAGAAAAAGCAUCGGCUAACUCCGUGCCAGCAGCCGCGGUAAUACGGAGGAUGCGAGCGUUAUCCGGAUUUAUUGGGUUUAAAGGGUGCGCAGGCGGUCUGUUAAGUCAGCGGCCAAAGCCCGGGGCUCAACCCCAUCCAGCCGUUGAAACUGGCAGUCUCGAGUUGGAGAGAAGUAUGCGGAAUGCGCGGUGUAGCGGUGAAAUGCAUAGAUAUCGCGCAGAACUCCGAUUGCGAAGGCAGCAUGCCGGCUCCACACUGACGCUGAGGCACGAAAGCGUGGGUAUCGAACAGGAUUAGAUACCCUUGUAAAC